UCUCAAUUGGAACUAUAAUCAAUCUAUUUAACUGAGACCCCCCUCAUCCACGCCCAACCUGCCCUCGGGCAACUGAAGGGAAAAGGUUAGCGGGGCUUUUGUCUUGCCCUCUCUUCUGCCGCCUCUAGGGGGUGGGAAGAGAGGACUGACGCCACCCCGAAAGUGGCUGAGGUCUUCUAGCCAGCUCUUCAUUCAUUCCGCUGCCUCGGCUUCCUGCCAGCGGUUUCCAAGUCUGGGGACUAAACUGACCUUCCUUAGGGCACUUGGGCCACCUUGCGGGUAAGGCAGAGUCGGAAGAAGGCCUUAUUGGUGGGGUGGAAGAAGAGCAGAUUUUCCUCCAAGUCUAUUAGCUGGGAUCCUCGGGGAAGGACCUUUGUUUUUUCCCCCAGAGAUGGGAUGAAAAUGGGGUGGAGGAACUGGCAUCUAAAAAACCACCUGAGAUAAAAGGAGUAACUCACGUGUGUGGACGGUCGCUUGAGAUGUGUAAGGGUUUGGAGAAGGCAAGAUUUCCCACAGUCUGUGCUUUGAGGAAUGAAGGGUUCAAGGCUCUCCUCUUCCAGGUAUGUGCGUGGUGAGACUGGAGGGUAUGGUGCCCUUAUCCAAACGUUCUGGGGUACAAGGAAGGUGGGGGGGGGUCCUUAUUGUUCAACUCACCAUUUCCUUAUUCCUGGAGAUCCAGGUGUCCAGCAGCAGGUCCAGUCGGGGUCUGUGGAAUUUCUUGGUGGUUUUGACUGCGAUGAAGACGUCCCUGGGGAAGAGCUGCUCCAUCUGUGGCCUGGGGACGUUCUCUCGCGCCGGGGCUGCCCCUGGCAGGGGCCCUGCGUCCCUCCUCGCUCGGCUCAGUUGGCCGAAAUACUCUGAGAAGCUGCGGAUAUCGCCAGAGGGGUCAGAUGCCCGGGUCAGCGAUGCAACGGGCUCCUCCUGGGGCUGCGGCGGGGGCGGUGGUCCAUGCCCCUGGGACUCGCCGCGACCCGCCAAGCUUUGCAGAGCUCUACGUCCUACCUCGCCCCCGGGGAGCUCUUCCUCGGGCGGCGGCGGCAACCGCUGUCGCAGAUGCUGCUUCUGAUCCACCGUUAACACCAAGAGGCAGGCGAACAGGGCUCCUACCAAGGACAGGAGCAGGCGGCGGCCGCAGCCCUUGAGCAUCUUCCAGCCGCCUUCGUUCAGCUCACAGCUGGUCCGAUAUGCGUACACAGCUGGAGGGGCGCCCCAAAAGCGAUCUAGCUCCCAGUCACCCCAGUAGCUUGGUAGAAGGAGCCGAAGGAGGAUAUGGGGCGAUGGCAACGCGGGUAACCUCUCAGGGUCUCCCGGAAAGUCUGUCCUCCAGCUCUAGGUUUCCCUAGCUUAGCCUCCCUGGCCAGUCCCUAGCCCCAGCUGCCUCUGGCCCUCUGGCUCUGUCUGCAGCAGCUCACUUAGCCGCCAGCCUCAGGCAGAACCCCCUUAUUUAAUACUUCCUUUCUUGUGGCUCCGCCUCUCAGGGGGUGGUGUUCUAUGCUUGGGUCCCGCCUCUUUCCCAGUAAAGCCGGCUGUGGUUCUGUAGGGUGUAGGGAGCGGGGAAAUACUCAUUGCUUGGGCUCCGCCCCUAGGUCCCCUUCUGGCCCUCCCUUGUCCCCCUCCCCCCCGUCCCACGUGGGUCCUCAGUAGGGGGCUGGGAGAAGCGGCUGGGGCAGCUGUGUGGCCCCUUGUGCCUCCCGCCCUCUUUGCACACCAUGCACACACGCACGCUCUUUCACACACUCUUUUUUCCCCUCCCCGCCCACUGUGCCUCUUUCUCCUUUCCCUCCUCCCCUUUCCCACCUCUGUCUGUCUUCUGUCUCGGAAUCUAAGAGCCUCCUCGAAUUGUGACGGGGGACAAAAUUGGGAAGUGGAUGGACCUCGUUUUCUGCUCCAUCAUCCUUGCCCCCGCUAGAGCACACUUAGAGCUUCUCCUGAGCUUCAGGCUGGGCUACACGACCUCCGGAGUUCCCUCCUAUCCUGGGAUUCUGAUGCAACGGGAAAACAAGGACAAGGAUCCGCAUUUACCUAGUGCUAGCUUUCCACACGAGACCUUUUUGAUCCUCGGGACGUCCCAUAUGUGGGUGACAAGAUAUCACAAAUUUUAAUGACAUUAUCUCACAGACUAGAAAACUGAGACUCAAAAAGAUAACGCAUUUGAGAAGUAGAGGCAGGACGUCAAACCCACGGCUUCUGACGGCAAGGCAACUACGUUAUUCUUUACAUCAUUACUACCCUAGUCAGUCAGAUACCCGGGUCUCGGACCAGAAUUGAAAGAGGAGGUGAUCUUUGUACGAGGCAUUAGGACGAUUGUCUUCCUGAAUUCUAGGAAAGAGAUUGCCGACCCACUUUACAAAUUAAUCAACAAGGCCUUCAUUGUCCUUACUAAGUGCUUACAGGUAGCAAAGACAAUUAAAAAAAAUGGAAAUUUC